CCCAGACUCCUACGGGAGGCAGCAGUGAGGAAUAUUGGUCAAUGGGCGAGAGCCUGAACCAGCCAAGUCGCGUGAGGGAGUACUGCCCUAUGGGUUGUAAACCUCUUUUGUCGGGGAGCAAAAGCCGGACGUGUCCGGCUGUGAGAGUACCCGAAGAAAAAGCAUCGGCUAACUCCGUGCCAGCAGCCGCGGUAAUACGGAGGAUGCGAGCGUUAUCCGGAUUUAUUGGGUUUAAAGGGUGCGCAGGCGGAUUUUUAAGUCAGCGGUCAAAUCGUGGGGCUCAACCCCAUCCAGCCGUUGAAACUGGGGAUCUAGAGUGUGCGAGAGGUAUGCGGAAUGCGUGGUGUAGCGGUGAAAUGCAUAGAUAUCACGCAGAACUCCGAUUGCGAAGGCAGCUUACUAAACUAUAACUGACACUGAAGCACGAAAGCGUGGGGAUCAAACAGGAUUAGAUACCCCAGUAAU
rnacentral:rRNA from 1 species